CGACCCAGUGGCGCGGCAGGAUGCCGCCGGCGUUGACGGCGCCGACGACGAAAGUGCGGGCGCCGGCGGCCACCGCUUCGGCGACGGUCAUGUCGG
rnacentral:tRNA from 2 species